GUGGGAUCCUCAUUAAAAGAUGAGUUCAACCCUUCUGUUAUGGUGGCUGACUGCUUUUACUGAAUUGGAGGUGUUGUUUGGGAACCCAAAGUUGAGGAUUACAAGACCCUCCUUGAGCACAUCCACCUUUUCACCCAGGCUCCUACGAACUCAACAAAAUGAUGUGGAAGGUUUUCCGGGGAUGUUCAAGGUCAAGUCUUUUUAUUCUCUCGUGAGAGAGUGCGAUCAUCAAAGAGAGGUGGGGAGCAUAAGUUUUGUUUGGUUUUAUAAUGUCCCUCCAAAGAUAGCUAUGCUCGGAUGGUUGGUUGGAAGGAAAAAAGUUCUAACCAACGUCAACCUCUAGAAAAGUGUUAUGGUGAUCCCAAAUAUCUGUAUCUUGUGUAUGCAUGAUGAGGAGACAGUGGACCAUCUUUUUGUGCAUUGCCCUUUUGUGGGCCCAAUUUGGGUGGAUAUGUUGAGCAGCUUUCACAUGAUGUGGUCUUCUUUGAUGUCGGCGGGUUGUUUGUUGUAUGCUUGGCAUGGAGUGGGCCUAGGGAAAGAGAGUGCCUUGGAGAAUGUCUUUGCUUGCAAUUUGGUGGGCUGUUUGGGAAGAAAAAUGCUAGGUGCUUCAAUAAUUUUAGGAGGUCAUAGGAGAGCAUUUUCUAGAGGGCUAGAGGGCUGGUAAUUGAAUGGGCGUGUAGUGUUUCAAAAUUAAAGGGUUGUAAUUUGGAUAUGCUUGGGUAGUGUCCGGUUGUUCUCUCACUGCCCCUUUAUGUUGUUGCUUUUGUUCUUUUUUCUUUUAAUUCUUUAAUAAAAUUCUCAUUAUCUUUCAAAAUAAUAAUAAUAAUAAUAAUAAUAAUUCUGGAGCACCCUUUCCUUGGAUCUUCUGUUUGUUUCGUGUAUCUACAUUUGACGUAACUCUGUGUUCUAUAUUUUCUUACCGAAUGAUUACACUUUUAAGGUCACAUUUUUUUUUUCCUCUGCCAUCAAAUUUGUUCUCAUAUGCGUAACCUGCUCAAUGACAAGAUUGGCUUGAUCUUUUGGGGCCAUGGCAGUUACACCGUGGGGCUCAAUGAAUGAAUUAUCCAGAUCUUUCACAUAUGUGAGAGUGGUGUUUGAGACCCCACUUUCUGGAGGAGCCAGGCUCCUCCGAACUCAACAAAAUGAUGGGGAAGGUUUGCUGGGGAUGUUCAAGGUCAAGUCUUUUUAUUCUCUCGUGAGAGGGUGCGAUCAUCAAAGAGAAGUGGGGAGCAUAAGUUUUGUUUGGUUUUAUAAUGUCCCUCCAAAGAUAGCUAUGCUCGGAUGGUUGGUUGGAAGGAAAAAGUUCUACCAACGUCAACCUCUAGAAAAGAGUUAUGGUGAUCCCAAAUAUCUGUAUCUUGUGUAUGCAUGAUGAGGAGACAGUGGACCAUCUUUUUGUGCAUUGCCCUUUUGUGGGCCCGAUUUGGGUGGAUAUGUUGAGCAGCUUUCACAUGAUGUGGUCUACUUUGAUGUCAGCGGGUUGUUUGUUGUAUGCUUGGCAUGGAGUGGGCCUAGGGAAAGAGAGUGCCUCGGAGAAUGUCUUUGCUUGCAAUUUGGUGUGAUGUUUGGGAAGAAAAAUGCUAGGUGCUUCAAUAAUUUUAGUAGGUCAUAGGAGAGCAUUUCCUAGAGGGCUAGAGGGCUGGUAAUUGAAUGGGCGUGUAGUGUUUCAAAAUUAAAGGGUUGUAAUUUGGAUAUUCUUGGGUAGUGUCCGGUUGCUCUCUCAUUGCCCCUUUAUGUUGUUGCUUUUGUUCUUUUUUCUUUUAGUUCUUUAAUAAAAUUCUCAUUAUCUUUCAAAAUAAUAAUAAUAAUAAUAAUUCUGGAGCACCCUUUCCUUGGA